UGAGGGGAGGGACCUCUAGAGGAGGGUGGGCAGGACCUGGAGCCCAGAUAAGACUUCUGGGGAACAAUAAGAGGAAUUGAAGAGGGGAGACCCACCCUCACUGUACCCCACCCCCAGGGUUUUGGGGUCAGGGACUGGGGACCCGAGGGUGAUGGGAGGAGUGCUGAGGAUCUUUGGGAAAGGAGGAGAGGAUGGGCCACAGCAGGAUCCCGGAGCUCAGAGCUUUGUCUUGUGGGACCACAGGGCACAUGAGGUGGCUGGGUGACAUUUUUGUACUUAAUUUAAUGUGCUUUUUAUUGCCUACUUUAUGAAUAGCACUUGAAUGUAAUAAAUGGUGCUUCAGAUUUUUUGGCUCCUGAGAAAUAAAAUCAUAAUUUCCUAUCAGUUCGGUAUUUUUCCCUGAGGCCCUGAACUGGGAAUGUAGGCCCAGCCCCUCCAAGUAGAGAUAGAAGCUGGUGGUUCCCUGCCAUCCCAUCCCAUACCUGUAGCUGCUUCCCAUCUCACUAGGUUGUUGGAUGACUGAGGCCAACAGAGUACCCUGCACUUUCUUGGGGCAAGGUGUACCGGACAAAAAUGUGGGUAUGCGAGGAGAGGGGAGUCGAAAUUGCGCUGAGCUUUCUUUCCAGGAAUGCGGCAGCUCCGGGCAUGACCGGUUACCUUACAGGACCCAGUUUCUAUCUCCUCCCAGAGUGCAGAUAAUGAAAAGGAACCUGGACUGAAGAGGCGGUAGUCGAAAGGCUUAGGAGUGGUACAGAGUGGGUGCUGGGUGUUGAGGAUGUGCUCUCUGGUCCCUACACUUUACACAGCCACCCCUGCAUAGGCGGCGAUCUGAGGGAUAUGGCCAAGGAUGUUUGAAGAAACAAAACGCCUGACACCCGGUUCCCAAGCCACGGCUCUUUCCGCGGUAGAGGUCCCUGAGGGAGGCCUCCAAGGCCCGAUUGGCCCCUGCUUCUUGGAGGCGGAACUCCGGACUGGUGGGCGGAGGGCUAUUUAAGACUGGGCUGUGCAGGAGGUGGCCAAGUGCAAAAAUGAGUGAACUGCUAGGUGCUAGCACCUGCCCAGGCCCAGGAGAGGCCUCACACCCUACGCCCCCGCUGUGCGCCAAGUUCAGGGAACCUCUCACCGAGGCCCGGUUCCAGCAGCUCUUCGGGGACGCAGAGCCGGAACCGGAACUAUUCUCGGGGCCCGCCUGGAGUCGGCAUUGCAGACAGUGGAGGCAGCGGGCCCGUGCGUGUUGGGGACCCGGGGCGUGGCGCCUGCUGCUUGCGCGGCUCCCCCUGCUGCGUUGGCUGCCCCACUACCGAUGGCGGGCCUGGCUGCUUGGGGAUGCGGUGGCAGGAGUGACCGUGGGCAUCGUGCACGUGCCCCAGGGCAUGGCUUUCGCCCUCCUGACCUCCGUGCCACCAGUGUUCGGACUCUACACUUCUUUCUUUCCCGUCCUCAUUUACACCUUGUUGGGUACUGGGAGACACCUGUCCACGGGAACUUUCGCGGUACUCAGCCUCAUGACUGGCUCGGCCGUGGAGCGACUGGUACCCGAACCCCUCGGGGGGAACCUGAGCGGAAUCCAGAGGGAACAGUUGGACGCUCAGCGGGUUGAGGUGGCUUCGGCCUUGGCCUUCGGAAGCGGGGCUCUGAUGCUGGGGAUGUUCGUGCUGCAGCUCGGCGUCCUGUCCAUCUUCUUGUCGGAGCCUGUGGUCAAAGCUCUGACCAGCGGGGCCGCGCUGCACGUGCUCGUGUCCCAACUGCCAAGCCUUUUGGGGUUGCCCCUCCCGCGCCAGAUCGGCUGCUUCGCUCUCUUCAAGACGCUGGCUGCUGUGCUGACGGCGCUGCCACGGAGCAGUCCGGCCGAGCUGACCAUCUCGGCACUCAGCCUGGCGCUGCUCGUGCCAAUCAAGGAAUUGAACGUGAGAUUCCGAGACAGACUACCCACCCCGAUCCCAGGGGAAAUCGUCCUGGUGCUUCUGGCCUCUGUGCUCUGCUUCACUUCUUCCUUGGACACAAGAUACAAUGUCCAGAUAGUGGGGCUGCUUCCUGGAGGAUUUCUCCAGCCCCAUCUCCCCAACCUGGCUGAGCUGCCCAGGAUUCUGGCUGACUCACUGCCCAUCGCACUGGUUACUUUUGCUGUGUCUGUCUCCCUGGCCUCCAUCUAUGCAGACAAGUAUAACUACACAAUUGAUUCCAACCAGGAGCUCUUGGCCCAUGGUGUCUCCAACCUCAUCUCCUCCCUCUUCUCUUGCUUUCCCAACUCAGCCACAUUGGCCACAACCAGCCUACUGGUGGAUGCUGGUGGGAACACACAGCUGGCAGGCCUCUUCUCCUGCAUAGUUGUUUUGUCUGUGUUGCUGUGGCUGGGGCCUUUCUUCCACUAUCUACCCAAGGUGAGGAGCAGAGGGGACAAGGUGUGGGGUGGCUGGCAGGGAUGGCUACAUGCCAGGACAUUGGGGUGGUCAGCUCGCCUCCUCUCCCCCAAGGCUGUCCUGGCCUGCAUCAACAUCUCCAGCAUGCGCCAGAUGUUCUUCCAGAUGCAGGAACUUCCACAACUAUGGCGCAUCAGCCGUGUGGACUUUGCUGUGUGGAUGGUCACGUGGGUGGCGGUAGUGAUCCUGAGUGUGGACCUCGGCCUGGCUGUAGGUGUGGUCUUCUCCAUGAUGACAGUGGUCUGCCGCACCCAGAGGGUUCAGUGCCUGGCACUUGGACUUGCUGAGGGGACUGAGCUCUACAGGCCACUCAGAGAGAGCCAUAAGCUCCUUCAGGUCCCAGGACUCUGCAUCCUGAGCUAUCCAACACCACUGUACUUUGGGACCUGUGGGCAGUUUCGCCGCACCCUCCAGCAGCAUCUGGGGCUUGGAGAAGGAGGCAAGGAGACCCCAAAGACAGAUGGCCCAUCUGAUGCAGUUGCUGAGCCUGUCAGAGUGGUGGUCCUAGACUGCAGCGGGGUCACCUUUGCAGAUGCCGCUGGGGCCAGAGAAGUGGUACAGCUGGCCAGCCUUUGCCGAGAUGCUGGGAUCCACCUUCUCCUGGCUCAGUGUAAUGGAAGAAGUUGACCACGCCGUCAGUGACUACGCAGCCUGGGAAGCCGACGAGCUCAUGGUGGAAGCCGCGCCUUUGCCGAAGGCAGUUCCCGCGGCCUGGUGCACCGGACUCCACGCUCAGCAGCUGUCGGUCCAGCGGUGUCCUCUCCAGCACGUCCACCAGCCUCUCCAGCCUCGUCCGCGCGGUGAAGAUGAAGUCGUCAUCCACCCACAGCACGUACUUGGUGGUUACUUGGGAUAUGGCCAGGUUUCGGCCUGCAAACCAACCCUGGGAGAAGGUGUAUUGAGCGCCCACUAGAUGCUAAGCACCAUUCUAAGAAUGCAGCGUGAAUAAGGCGGGUAUGAUUCCUGCUGCCACGGAGCUUACAUCCCGGGGACCCUCAACCGUGACAGGCACCAGUGAUUCUGAAGCAGGAAGUUCUGGCAUCACUACUCAAGACUGCAGACUGAAGGUGUGCCCCUCCUGGUGCCCGCUGGGGCGCCCUUCAGCCUCAGGCUGCGCACCUUGCCGAAAGGCAUGAGAUAGUGCUCAAUGUGGAGUCCGCUAAUGCUCUCUGGCUUGUCGCUGUCGUCAGCGAUGACCACGGUGACCGUCGGGUAGAAGCGGCGGAUGCUGGCAAUGAGUGCCCGUAGCCGAUUGUAACGAAGGAAGGUCUUAGUGGCGAUGGUGACCAGAGCACUGAGGUUGUACUGGGCUGGGAGUGAGGGGCAGGGUGAGGUGCAGGCAAGGAGAGUAGGGAGUGAGGAGCAGGGCGGCAUCUCCCAGGGCCGCCCUCUCCCAACUUGCUCCCCAGGAGGCCUGGACCACUUCUCUGGGAAAGACAGCCUCACCUCCCUGGGGUAGAGAUCCAGGUGAAUACAGCCGAGGGUUGGGGGGGUGUCUUAUGCGAAUGGUGAAGGCUACCUCAUGUCCCUCAGUGGAAAACCGGACUGGAAAGGAAGGACAUGAGAUGUGGCCCUUAUGGCUGGGACAACAUUGUUUUUCAGUAAAUCGUUAUUUAAGUGUC